GACGAACGCUGGCGGCGUGCCUAAUACAUGCAAGUCGAACGCUGAAGGAGGAGCUUGCUUCUCUGGAUGAGUUGCGAACGGGUGAGUAACGCGUAGGUAACCUGCCUGGUAGCUGGGGAUAACUAUUGGAAACGAUAGCUAAUACCGCAUAAGAGUAGAUGUUGCAUUACAUUUGCUUAAAAGGUGCAAUUGCAUCACUACCAGAUGGCCCUGCGUUGUAUUAGCUAGUUGGUGGGGUAACGGCUUACCAAGGCGACGAUACAUAGCCGACCUGGGAGGGUGAUCAGCCACACUGGGACUGAGACACGGCACAGACGCCUACGGGAGGCAGCAGUAGGGGAACUGCGGCAAAGGACGGAAGUCUGGCCGAGCAAAGCCGCGGGAGUGAAGAAGGGUGUCGGAUCGUAAAGCUCGGUUGUAAGAGAAGAACGAGUGUGAGAGUGGAAAGUUCACACUGUGACGGUAGCUUACCAGAAAGGGACGGCUAACUACGUG
rnacentral:rRNA from 1 species